CUGGCCAAUUUAAAGCUUGUGGAUAUUUCUUCCCCCUCGGGGAAAGCUUAUGUGAGGAUUUUCUUUUUUAACAGUUCAUUCCGUGAAACCAUUUUUUUUCUCCUUGUUUGCUGUUAGAAAAUGUUGGAGCUGAACAUAAGGCUUUCAUUGCAGAUUGCUAUCAAGGGAACUAAGGAAGGAUGUAGGCAUACUGUUAAUGUCUCUAUUCAAGCUGUAUUUGAGGUAAGGCGAUUUUUUAUCCUUAUCUCUGAAAUUAGACUAUGAAGUAGAUGCAGUAUUUACUUUCAUUAUAGUUGCUAAGAUUAUCCUGUUGCUAUUUGUUUUUCUUAUUGAUAAAAUGUGUUUAGACUUGUCACAAAACUGUUCCUUCCCUAUGUAAGAAUGAAAAUCCUGUAUUUUUAUUUCAACAAUAUCUACUACAUAUCUGCAUGUUCCUAUUAGCUUGUGUUCUCUGGAUCAAUGAAAGAUCAUUUUUUGUAGUUGCUUUGGAUUUGUCCACUAUGCUUAUCAUAUUGUGUGGGAGUGAGUGGAUUUCUUGACCUGGGUGGGCAGUUCUUAUGCAAACUUUGUAAAACUGAGUUUCAAAUUGUUUCCACUGUGAAUCGCUUUCCUUGUAAAAGAAUUACUUUUAUGGUAAUGUUUAACUUGAGUAGAAUUGUUUUCAAACAUAUACAAUGUACUUUUUGUGUAUUCUUUUUUAAGAGCAGUCCAAAUAAAAUAGUUAUUCAUAUCA
rnacentral:lncRNA from 1 species